CCUAGAGUUGUAGGCUUUGCCUGCUAUCUCUUACCUCAUGUCUUUUGAGUACCUUCGUUUCCUCGGCGGGUCCGCCCGCCGAUUGGACAAUUUAAACCAUUUGCAGUUGCAAUCAGCGUCUGAAAAAACUUAAUAGUUA
rnacentral:misc_RNA from 1 species